rnacentral:lncRNA from 1 species
GGCACAAGUAAUACUUUAAUUCCAGCUUAUUCUUUACAUAAUAGCUUACACCCUCACUUAACCAAAUAAUAGAUAGUAGGCCAAGUGUUCAACCACGUGCAUAUGCACAUGUAUUGAUAGCACUUCCUCUUAUUCUUCACUGACUUUAUUUAAGGAUUAAACAAAGACUGCUAAUUUUGACACCCUGGCCUAGGCGUCGACUUAUUCCUCAUGCUCCUCUAACUCCUCACCAUGCCCACUUCCCGCGCACUCUGUGCAUAUCAGAGGAAAAAGGAAAACAAUAGUGAGUAUGUUGGGACAUACUCAGCAAGAAUAUAAGAAUGCAAGAAUUAGUAGGUUGCAAGUUGAAUGUGCAUAAGGUAAAGAUGCUUCAGCCUCCUGUUACCUUACAGGAGCAGGAUGGAAUUAUACCGGCGCAAACCUAUAGCAAUAAUCUCUGCAGAGACAUACUAAUAACCGUCGUAAUCUCCACCAAUGGUAAUACCUAUCUCCGGGAAUCACGACGCCGAGUCCCCUACUUGUGUGAGGUAUCUUCCAUCUCACACUAGUACCGACUAAAUUAGCCGCGUACCGUUAUUUCAGGUAUCGACCGCCCCGGGCUUGAUAUACCACACUUACCAUGAUCACGACGGUGUACGUUCUUAGAUUAUUCAAACAUCAUCGUUCGAUCAAUCCGUCAACCAUGCACGCAUGGUUCUCACAGGCAUAAUAAUUACCAGCUCAUCACUUAUAUUCAUAUGUAAAAACAUUAAUGCUAGUAACCAAUUAAUUUGUUAACAUAUAUUAAAAGUUCAGUUUGAGAGAGAAGACUGAUAUGCACAGUCUUGCCUUGCAGCGGUUCCUCCUCGGCUAAAUCUGAGCUCCAACCUAAGCAUGUUACAAACGCCCAUCAGCUUAUUAUUUCAUGUGACUUGCAAGUGGCAACAUGGACAUGAGCAGCUAUAUGCAGUACCAGUACAGGGAUGUAACAAGUCGCUCUAUAGUACUUGGCUAUGCUAGAGUGAGGCGUGCACAUCCCACUUUAACCUCAGUACUGUUCCCAGCUAUUAAAUUUGAAAAAUACAACCACCUGCAUGCAUGCUAGCUAGCCGUGAAGAUUAUUUCUUUACACAGGAGAUGUACGCAUGCAUGGGUCCUGUAGUACUAGUACUACUCGUUCCCAGUCUUUCUUACCAACUAGUACUAGUUGUUCCUUCUUAAGCCAGCGAAUAAAUUCAUCAGUGUAACAAAGCAUGGAUCAAUAGAAUGGAAUCAGUCUGAUGCAACUUCCAGUAUUUUAGAAUCUUUUCGUUCAUUUACCCAUAACACCACAUCUUCCGUUAAGCAAGAAUAUCAGCUCAAGUGUGGAAAUCGAUGGAAAGAAAACAGGAACAUGUAGUAGGAGAGGAGAGAUGCUACAGCUAGCUACCCUCAAGAAUCUUAGAUGACUUCAUGAGACAAGACGAGGAACAGGGCGUUGGCUAAAGCUAGCAGCCAUACCUCCUUGUCCUCAAUUUCUCCGCAGCUUCUCCGAUCGGUCGCUCGCUCUCCGCUGACUGCUUCCAACUAAAGUGGGGAA